rnacentral:rRNA from 1 species
CCUAGCUGUGUUGGCUUUCUAACCCGCACCACUUAUCGUGGUGGGAGACAGUGUCAGGCGGGCAGUUUGACUGGGGCGGUCGCCUCCUAAAAGGGAACGGAGGCGCUCAAAGGGUCCCUCAGAAUGGGUGGAAAUCAUUCAUAGAGGGUAAAGGCAUAAGGGAGCUUGACUGCGAGACCUACAAGUCGAGCAGGGUCGAAAGACGGACUUAGUGAUCCGGUG